UGUCUUCUAAAUAAAGACUAGUAUGAACGGCUAAAUGAGGACAAACCUGUCUCUUACAGCUAAUCAGUGAAACUGAUCUCCCAGUACAAAAGCUAGGAUAAAUACAUAAGACGAGAAGACCCUGUGGAGCUUAAAACAACCACUAAUAAGCAUCAUUAAUGCCCCUAGUCCAUAGUUUUAAGUUGGGGCGACUUCGGAACAAAACAACUUCCGAGCCAGAACCACCACUUCUCACCAAGGCCAACAAGCCAAAGUAAAAGCCGACCCAGUCAUACUGACCAACGAACCAAGUUACCCCAGGGAUAACAGCGCUAUCUUCUUCAAGAGUCCCUAUCGACAAGAAGGUUUACGACCUCGAUGUUGGAUCAGGACACCCAAAUGGUGCAGCUGCUAUUAAAGGUUCGUUUGUUCAACGAUUAACAGU
rnacentral:rRNA from 1 species